CAUAAAGUAGCAAUACUUGGUGGCGACCGGCGCACGGUGAGUAACGCGUAUGCAACCUACCUAUCAGAGGGGAAUAACCCGGCGAAAGUCGGACUAAUACCGCAUAAAACAGGGGCACCGCAUGGUGAUAUUUGUUAAAGAAAUUCGCUGAUAGAUGGGCAUGCGUUCCAUUAGGUAGUUGGUGAGGUAACGGCUCACCAAGCCGACGAUGGAUAGGGGAACUGAGAGGUUGGUCCCCCACACUGGUACUGAGACACGGACCAGACUCCUACGGGAGGCAGCAGUGAGGAAUAUUGGUCAAUGGGCGAGAGCCUGAACCAGCCAAGUCCGCGUGAAGGAAGAAGGAUCUAUGGUUCGUAAACUUCUUUUGCAGGGGAAUAAAGUGCAGGACGUGUCCUGUUUUGUAUGUACCCUGAGAAUAAGGAUCGGCUAACUCCGUGCCAGCCGCGGC
rnacentral:rRNA from 1 species